rnacentral:rRNA from 1 species
UGCAGAAUCCCGUGAACCAUCGAGUAUUUGAACGCAAGUUGCGCCCGAAGCCUUUUGGCCGAGGGCACGUCUGCCUGGGUGUCA